rnacentral:lncRNA from 1 species
CAGUCACCCUGCAAGAGGGGGGUGGGUCAUUCUACAUCCCUUUCUAUGGCUGAGCGCAGCCACCAUAUGCAGGUGCCUCCAGAAAUUUUCAAAGAAAAAAUUGCAAAAAAGGAAGAAAAAAAACAUGUCACAAGAGCUAGACAACUACGACACGUGGGAGAGAAAAGAUGGAGCUUCGAUAAAGGUAUUCAUUGUUGUUACGCACCAAACACUCCUGUGUUCUUAUUUUGUGCUUUGCUUUUGCUUUUGGCUUCUUCCAGCUGAUCCACUGCUUUAAGCAGGUGAAUGUGUUUUGUAAAUGUUGACUUCUGUCAGACAAGAACUCUUGGACAAAAUUAGAGGAAUGCUGCUGUGUUCAACAUUUUAUCAAUCACCUUGAAGAUAAACUAUAGCCGACCAGAUAAAUAGCUACAAGAGUCUUGCACAUGGUGGCCCUUGUUGGCUAAACUGCUACUGUAAGCCACACAAACACUGGAAGUCACAUCGCACAUUCACAACAAUCAAAGGCUAAGCACGCCAUACAUAAAAAGUCCAUAACAGCACGGCUAAAUUAAUCAUUUGAACACCACAUUUUCAUUCACACAUUCCUGUAUGUUUUGCACUUGCAGAAUUUAUAGUAUUCAGCUGUAUUAAUAAAGAAUGGCAUGUAACUGUUUAAAAUUGACGUUGAUUUUUGAGUAGUGAGGACGUGGGGAGAGGAAUGUUUGUCCAGAGAGAGCUGAGAUGGUUAAGAAGAGAAAAAAUGAGAAAAUAAAUUAUUUUUUUCUUUAAUUGUCAGGAAUCAAGCGGUGUGUGCGUGCAUGUUCAUUCAUUCACACCUGUGUUGCGUGCUGUAUGUUUAUGAGCGCUCUGUAAUGAUAGAUUGACAAGCUGCUCCCGCUGGGCUGCGGCACCUCUGACCCUUGACCUUGAAAUCUCCAGUCUGGUUUAAUGAUCCAGUCCUCUCACACCCAUCCAGGAAUAUGUUACCGUGGAAACAUAGCCUUUUCCCCCCACUCAUAAUGCAGGAGAGUUCUCCAUCCGUGUCUAAUUCAGUCUCAAGCCAAGUCGGUGACCUCUGAAGAGAUGUUUGCAGUCUGAUCAGUAUAUCCACAGAUGCGCUGCUUGUGUCCCAGAAGCUGCUGUCAGGAUUUCAGGUUAAAUACUACAGUUAAUAUUGGCGGGAAUGACCUAUGCAGAGAUAAUCUCAUGCCAUCCGGCACAAUCCUUCAGAAAACAUCUGAAUUACAUUGUUAAAAUAACUCAGAUACAC